rnacentral:rRNA from 1 species
AUUGAACGCUGGCGGCAUGCCUUGCACAUGCAAGUCGAACGGCAGCACGGUAGCCUGCUCCUGGUGGCGAGUGGCGAACGGGUGAGUAAUACAUCGGAACGUACCCCUGAAGUGGGGGAUAACGUAGCGAAAGUUACGCUAAUACCGCAUAUUCUGUGAGCAGGAAGAGGGGGAUCGCAAGACCUCUUGCUUUAGGAGCGGCCGAUGUCGGAUUAGCUAGUUGGUGAGGUAAAGGCUCACCAAGGCGACGAUCCGUAGCGGGUCUGAGAGGAUGAUCCGCCACACUGGGACUGAGACACGGCCCAGACUCCACGGGAGGCAGCAGUGGGGAAUUUUGGACCAAUGGGCGCAAGCCUGAUCCAGCCAUGCC